rnacentral:rRNA from 1 species
AGCGGCGAACGGGUGAGGAAUGCAUGGGUAACCUACCCUAGAGUGGGGAAUAACUAGCCGAAAGGUUAGCUAAUAUCGCAUACGAUUCCCGGACUUCGGUUCGGGAGGGAAAGCGAUACCGUGGGUAUCGCGCUCUUGGAUGGGCUCAUGUCCUAUCAGCUUGUUGGUGAGGUAAUGGCUCACCAAGGCUUCGACGGGUAGCUGGUCUGAGAGGACGAUCAGCCACACUGGCACUGCGACACGGGCCAGACUCCUACGGGAGGCAGCAGUAAGGAAUAUUGCGCAAUGGACGAAAGUCUGACGCAGCGACGCCGCGUGGGGGAUGAAGGUCUUCGGAUUGUAAACCCCUUUCGGCAGGGAAGAUGGAACGGGUAACCGUUCGGACGGUACCUGCAGAAGCAGCCACGGCUAACUUCGUGCCAGCAGCCGCGGUAAUACGAAGGUGGCAAGCGUUGUUCGGAUUCACUGGGCGUACAGGGAGCGUAGGCGGUUGGGUAAGCCCUCCGUGAAAUCUCCGGGCCUAACCCGGAAAGUGCAGAGGGGACUGCUCGGCUAGAGGAUGGGAGAGGAGCGCGGAAUUCCCGGUGUAGCGGUGAAAUGCGUAGAGAUCGGGAGGAAGGCCGGUGGCGAAGGCGGCGCUCUGGAACAUUUCUGACGCUGAGGCUCGAAAGCGUGGGGAGCAAACAGGAUUAGAUACCCUGGUAGUCCACGCCUUAAACUAUGGAUACUAAG